rnacentral:rRNA from 1 species
UACGGAGGGGGCUAGCGUUGUUCGGAAUUACUGGGCGUAAAGCGUACGUAGGCGGCUUGGCAAGUUAGAGGUGAAAGCCCGGGGCUCAACUCCGGAAUAGCCUUUGAGACUGCCUCGCUUGAACGUCGGAGAGGUGAGUGGAAUUCCGAGUGUAGAGGUGAAAUUCGUAGAUAUUCGGAAGAACACCAGUGGCGAAGGCGGCUCACUGGACGACUGUUGACGCUGAGGUACGAAAGCGUGGGGAGCAAACAGG